GUGGGCCUACGGGACGCAGCAGUGGGGGAUAUUGCACAAUGGGGGAAACCCUGAUGCAGCAACGCCGCGUGAGGGAAGAAGGUUUUCGGAUUGUAAACCUCUGUCAUUGGUGAAGAUAAUGACGGUAGCCAAUGAGGAAGCUCCGGCUAACUACGUGCCAGCAGCCGCGGUAAUACGUAGGGAGCGAGCGUUGUCCGGAAUUACUGGGUGUAAAGGGUGCGUAGGCGGGUAAUUAAGUCAGGUGUGAAAUCCAUCGGCUCAACCGGUGAACUGCACUUGAAACUGAUUAUCUUGAGUGGAGUAGG
rnacentral:rRNA from 1 species